rnacentral:rRNA from 1 species
UACGUGGGGGGCGAACGUUGUUCGGAGUCACUGGGCUUAAAGGGUGCGUAGGUGGUUGCGUAAGUCACGUGUGAAAGCCCUCGGCUUACCCGGGGAAUUGCGCGUUAUACUGCGUGACUUGAGGAUUUCAGGGGAAAGGGGAACUCCAGGUGUAGCGGUGAAAUGCGCAGAUAUCUGGGGGAAGGCCGGCGGCGAAGGCGCCUUUCUGGGAAAUUCCUGACACUGAGGCACGAAAGCGUGGGGAGCAAACAGG